AGAACGAACGCUGGCGGCAUGCCUAACACAUGCAAGUCGAACGAGAUCUUCGGGUCUAGUGGCGCACGGGUGCGUAACGCGUGGGAAUCUGCCCUUAGGUACGGAAUAACAGUGAGAAAUUACUGCUAAUACCGUAUGAUGUCUUCGGACCAAAGAUUUAUCGCCUAGGGAUGAGCCCGCGUUGGAUUAGCUAGUUGGUGGGGUAAAGGCCUACCAAGGCGACGAUCCAUAGCUGGUCUGAGAGGAUGAUCAGCCACACUGGGACUGAGACACGGCCCAGACUCCUACGGGAGGCAGCAGUGGGGAAUAUUGGACAAUGGGCGAAAGCCUGAUCCAGCAAUGCCGCGUGAGUGAAGAAGGCCUUCGGGUUGUAAAGCUCUUUACCCGGGAAGAUAAUGACUGUACCGGGAGAAUAAGCCCGGCUAACUCCGCGCCAGCACGCCGC
rnacentral:rRNA from 1 species